UUAAGUCCCGCAACGAGCGCAACCCUUAUUGUUAGUUGCCAUCAUUUAGUUGGGCACUCUAGCGAGACUGCCGUUGACAAACCGGAGGAAGGUGGGGAUGACGUCAAAUCAUCAUGCCCCUUAUGACCUUGGCUACACACGUGCUACAAUGGGAAGUACAACGAGUCGCUAGACCGCGAGGGCAUGCAAAUAUCUUAAAGCUUCUCUCAGUUCGGAUUGCAGGCUGCAACUCGCCUGCAU
rnacentral:rRNA from 1 species